ensembl:lncRNA
GGAAUGGACCAAAUGGCAGCUACAGAGGGAGAGAGGCCUCUAAUGAGGCUGGCAUUGGAGGCAAAGGCCUAACUGAUGAAUUUAGACCUUGGCCUUGAGUUCAAAAUUAAUUAUAAAGGCCAUAAGAAGCUGCCAGAGGAUUUGAAGGUGAUCAGAUCUGUGUUUUAAACAAAGAAAACAACUCUAGCUUCUGUGAGGACAAUGUAUAGCUGAAUCAUGCAGGUGGGCAAGACCAUCCCAAUAUUACAGCUGAUGAAACUGGAUCCCAAAAAGGUUAAAGAUUUUCCCAGAAGACCCCUGCAAUUAGACAAAGUGAACAAACUGCUGAGACUGUGAACACGUGUUAUUGUCCAACAGAAGGUGAACGAUCUCCUACUGGAAUUCUAUAAUAUUUCCAGCAAGUCUAUUGCAGCGUAUGUCUACUUCAAAUCUGAUGAUGUUAAAAAGGAGGGAAAAGUGCAGAGUGCAGCUCAGAAAUAUUUCUGCCCAGGAAAGCUAGCAGUUAAAGCAGGGGACAGGCAGGUAGGUCUGGGAUAAUGAGCAGUACCAAGGUACCCUGCUUAAUCUGAUCUGCCUCCAGGUCUCAGGAUGUUGUAUAGGAAUGGGCUUCAUUUCCAUAGGGGGAAAGGAAUGAAAUGACAACAAUCUCUUUAUGGUCUCAUUGUUCAGGUAGUCAGAGUUUUAUAUUCUUUAGAAGAAAAGUACUAUGUCGAUCCCAGACAAGAGCCCUUAUCAACAGGAUUGUGUUUAUCUACUUGUUUAGCAGUUUUAGGGACUUUCUUUCCACCAUUCUGUGAGCUCAGGGAAGUCUGGGCCCUUGAGGAUGAAGAUGGACUCUCAGAAUGUACAUACAUCGUGCUAUUGAAGCACAGCAGGUUCUCCUUAAGUGUGGGUUAAAUGAAUGAAUGUUGAAUGAGACGAAGAGACAGAUACAAUAAGAGCAACGGUUUUGGAAACAGACAAUACGAGGAUUAAGUCACUGCGCCAUCACCCGCCAGCUACCUGAUCUUGGAGAAGCUCACAAGCUUCCUCAUCUGAAACUAACUAGGCGCUGGUCUUGGCCUAUAUCCAGCAUUAGAUUCACAGUGGCCAUGAUUAAGUUCUCAAUCUGGUGAACUCCAUAGACGACCUUGGGAGAACAGGCCUAGCAAGAAAUUUAUUUUUUCACAGAAAUUUUUGAGCACCUGUCACAUGACAGAUGGCACUUGAGAUACACAGAUGAAACUACAGGGUCCCAUACCUUACCACAUAAUGAAGAGAUGUAUCACCAAAAUGACAUUAAUAAAUAUGAAAUGU